GACGAACGCUGGCGGCGUGCUUAACACAUGCAAGUCGAACGGAAAGGCCCUGCUUUUGUGGGGUGCUCGAGUGGCGAACGGGUGAGUAACACGUGAGUAACCUGCCCUUGACUUUGGGAUAACUCCAGGAAACUGGGGCUAAUACCGGAUAGGAGCUCCUGCUGCAUGGUGUGGGUUGGAAAGUUUCGGCGGUUGGGGAUGGACUGGCGGCUUAUCAGCUUGUUGGUGGGGUAGUGGCUUACCAAGGCUUUGACGGGUAGCCGGCCUGAGAGGGUGACCGGCCACAUUGGGACUGAGAUAGGGACCAGAAGCCUACGGGAGGCAGCAGGGGAGAAUAUUGCACAAUGGGGGGAAGCCUGAUGCAGCAACGCCGCGUGCGGGAUGACGGCCUUCGGGUUGUAAACAGCUUUCGAAUGUGACGAAGAGUGAGUGACGGUAAUGGGUAAAGAAGCACCGGCUAACUACGUG
rnacentral:rRNA from 1 species